rnacentral:lncRNA from 1 species
CCCUAGAGGCGCCGGCUGGGGCCGAGAUUGCAGGAGUGGGCAAGAUACUAAAUACUUUUCUUGGAAUAUGUCAUCUUGAUUGAAAACUACUAGGAUAUUUUUGAAAAAGUAGCUCAUUAGCUGGCCGGGCUCUGCAUUAUCUAUGGCAGGAAAAAAUUGAGGGCAAAAGAGUUUCUUUGGCAUACAUCAAGGACUACAUUGCAAUCAAUACAAGCAAACCAAGUCUGGAAAAUAUAUAAGCUAAGUAUUAAAUAAGUAACUCACUGUCUAUAAAUCUCCUACUAGUGGGUGAAUGUUGAAAGUCAUAUAAGGGCUUCAGUGACUA